AGGUUCAGAAGCAGUGAAUACAAACUGCAUUCAAACAGGCCUGGACGGCCGGCUGGCCUGAACUCUUCUAGGAGUCACAGCAGGCGAUUAGUCGGGACCAGAACAUAUCUUGUUAACUAGGUAAGGCUGACCCCUCCUCGGUCAGUCUAGGCUGUUACUAUAUGGAGUUCAGAAAUGUUUUGUGUGGACUAAAUAAACGUCUACAACAUUGCACCACAGGCAGGCCUGGGACCCACCCCAUUGUGUGCCAUUCUGCUUAUUCCCCCAAGCACUGGUUAUCAAGAUCUGGCCCAUAAGCAUCGUUAAGGGCAUCUCUUUGUCCUGUAUGGUAAUCCUGGCUACUUACGCUCUUCCUAGCUCACUUGGCUUUGUGCUCCACACUUAAAAAAUAAUCUAACCACCUCUCAGCUACUUGUAUCUAUAAGGAGUGAUUAACCAGGUAAGUUAAUCCUGAACAAAUGAACAACACAGGGUGAAGGAUUUCUCUCUUGCUGUGGUCACCCAGAAGUCUUACCUGCUUCAUAGCCUGUAGCCAGUUUAACACAAAAGCCAGAUAUGGUAGCAGUCUUGAGACCAGACUAGGCUACACGGUAAAUUUCAGAUCAGGUUGGGCUACAUGGGAAGACCUUGGCUUACAAAGGAAAAAAAAAUGGGGUGAGGGACUUAACCUGAGCAAAACUGGAAUGGCCUCAGGUAGAGCUGAAGCGCUGUAGCGUUUCUUCUCUUGCC
rnacentral:lncRNA from 1 species